rnacentral:rRNA from 1 species
GUGUCAGCAGCCGCGGUAAUACGGAGGGGGCAAGCGUUACUCGGAAUUAUUGGGCGUAAAGGGCGCGUAGGCGGUCGUGUGCGUCGGAGGUGAAAUCCCCGGGCUUAACCCGGGAGCUGCCUCCGAUACGGCAUGGCUUGAGUCCGGGAGAGGGGAGCAGAAUUCCCAGUGUAGCGGUGAAAUGCGUAGAUAUUGGGAGGAAUACCGGUGGCGAAGGCGGCUCCCUGGACCGGUACUGACGCUGAGGCGCGAAAGCGUGGGUAGCAAACAGGAUUAGAUACCCUCGUAGUCC